GGGAAUGUGGCUUAGUGGUAGAGUGUUUGCCUAGCAUGCAGGAAGCCUAGGUUCAAUUCCUCAGUACUA
rfam:Dipodomys ordii contig_4584, whole genome shotgun sequence.